GCCGUCGUCGACCAGUGGCAGGUCACCUCCAACAAUUGUCCCAUUUCAAUAUCACCAUCUAGUGGAGGAACCGUGGGUUCGAUUCCCCCCGACGGCA